rnacentral:rRNA from 1 species
GAUGAACGCUGGCGGCGUGCUUAACACAUGCAAGUCGAACGAUGAAGCCCAGCUUGCUGGGUGGUUUAGUGGCGAACGGGUGAGUAACACGUGAGUAACCUGCCCUUGACUCUGGGAUAAGCCUGGGAAACUGGGUCUAAUACUGGAUAUGACUUCUCAUCGCAUGGUGGGGGGUGGAAAGAUUUAUUGGUCUUGGAUGGACUCGCGGCCUAUCAGCUUGUUGGUGAGGUAAUGGCUCACCAAGGCGACGACGGGUAGCCGGCCUGAGAGGGUGACCGGCCACACUGGGACUGAGACACGGCGCAGACUCCUACGGGAGGCAGCAGUGGGGAAUAUUGCACAAUGGGCGCAAGCCUGAUGCAGCGACGCCGCGUGAGGGAUGACGGCCUUCGGGUUGUAAACCUCUUUCAGUAGGGAAGAAGCGAGAGUGACGGUACCUGCAGAAGAAGCGCCGGCUAACUACGUG